rnacentral:rRNA from 1 species
AUUGAACGCUGGCGGCAGGCCUAACACAUGCAAGUCGAGCGGAGCGGCGGACGGGUGAGUAAUGUCUGGGAAACUGCCUGCUGGAGGGGGAUAACUACUGGAAACAGUAGCUCAUACCGCAUACUAUCAGAUGAGCCUCGUUCGGGUUAGCUAGUUGGUGGGGUAAAGGCCUACCAAGGAGAAGAUCCGUAACUGGUCUGAGAGGAUGAUCAGUCACACUGGAACUGAGACACGGUCCAGACUCCUACGGGAGGCAGCAGGGGGGAAUUUUGGACAAUGGGCGAAAGCCUGAUCCAGCCAUGCCGCGUGUGUGAAGAAGGUCUUCGGAUUGUAAAGCACUUUAAGUUGGGAGGCGUUACCAACAGAAUAAGCACCGGCUAACUUCGUGCCAGCAGCCGCGGUAAUAC